AGUAUAAAACACAGAGCAGAGUGCUUUUGGGGUUCCUCAGUUGCAGUGAGAUGUUAGGCACUUGCAGAGACUCAGUCCACUACCCUGGGCAGCUUUUCCAAGAUGUAGGGACUGGCUUGCCAUAAUUCAUAGCUUCUGCUGUCCCUUGCUACAUACCUCCUGUUUUGUUACAAACUAGGAUUGCAACAUCUGCUUAUAGGCUCAAAAUAAAGGGAUGGAGAAAAAUCGACCAAGCAAAUGGAAAACAGAAAAGAGCAACUUGCUUCCUGAAAAUUCAUGCUCCAGCUCCCUGCCACCUCCAAAUCUCCCAGUCAGCCUCUUGUUGGCACACUGAAUUACUCUGGGGCCAUAUGUUUCAGGCUUUGUAUUAAGUAUCAAAGAUCCCAUGACAAGACAGCUCCCCUGCUUGCUGGGAGGACGUGGUGAGGACAGGGUACAUCUGAAACCUCUGGUGUGUCUGGCAGAGUUGCAAACGACUAGAUUCCAUCCAAGAUCAAAUGAAUCAGAAUCUGUGGUGA
rnacentral:lncRNA from 1 species